UGAUCAUGGCUCAGAACGUACGCUGGCGGCACGCUUAACACAUGCAAGUCGAACGAAGUAGCAAUACUUAGUGGCAGACGGGUGAGUAACAUGUGGGUAUCUGCCCUUUGGCCUGGAAUAACACGAGGAAACUUGUGCUAAUACCGGAUAAGUCUUUACGGAGAAAGCUUUAUGCACCAUUGGAUGAGCCCGCACUUGAUUAGUUUGUUGGUGGGGUAAUGGCCCACCAAGACUGUGAUCAAUAGCUGAUUUGAGAGGAUGAUCAGCCACAUUGGGACUGAGACACGGCCCAAACUCCUACGGGAGGCAGCAGUGGGGAAUCUUG
rnacentral:rRNA from 1 species